ensembl:processed_transcript predicted gene, 36995
GUCCUCGGCGCGCGGAGAGCAGCGCGGAGAGCUCCAAUUUCUCUGAUCUGGUCCUAGACCCAGCCCCGGAGUUAGAAUUAACUCCACCAUGGAGGAGGCUGACCGAAUCCUCAUCCAUUCCUUGCGCCAGGCGGGCACGGCAGUCCCUCCAGAAGUGCAGACUCUGCGAGCUUUCACCACUGAGCUGGUCGUAGAGGCUGUGGUCCGAUGCCUUCGAGUGAUCAAUCCUGAUGUGGGCUCUGGCCUCAGUCACUUGCUACCACCAGCCAUGUCUGCCCGCUUCCGCCUGGCCAUGAGUCUGGCUCAGGCCUGCAUGGACCUGGGCUAUCCCUUGGAGCUUGGCUAUCAGAACUUCCUCUAUCCCAGUGAGCCUGACCUCCGAGAUCUGCUUCUUUUUUUGGCUGAGCGACUACCCAGUGAUGCCUCUGAGGACGCAGACCAGCCUGCAGGUGACUCGGCUAUUUUCCUUCGGGCCAUUGGGAGCCAAAUCCGGGACCAGCUGGCCCUGCCCUGGGUCCCACCUCUCCUUCGAACUCCCAAGGUGCAGCGCCUCCAGGGCUCAGCCCUCCAGCAGCCGUUCCACUCCAGCAGGUUGGUUCUGCCUGAGUUGAAUUCCAGCGGAGGUGAGGAUGCAGCUGUAUGAAUCUAAGCGAGGAGGGGAGAGGCUUGUGUGAGCACUGGUAUGCGAGGACAAAAGGCUGACACUGUCUCUGCCUUCAGAGCCACGGGAGUUCCAGGCCAGUCCCCUGCUGCUACCAGCCCCCACACAGGUGCCCCAGCUUCAGGGGAGGGCAGCCUCACUCCUUGAACACCAUGCCAGCCAGCUCUGCCAGCAUGUGAACAGGGAUUGCCCAGGAGAUGAAGACCGGGUGCGCUGGGCAUCCCGCGUCCCAUCCCAGGAGGAUUCCCGGGCUCCACAGCAGAGAUUGCACAAGCAGCUGAUUGAACAUCUGCGUCAAAGCUGGGGCCCACUUGGAGCCCCGACACAAGUCCGAGACCUAGGAGAGAUGCUGCAGACCUGGGGUGCUAGGGCUAUGACUGGUGUGCCCAAAGGCUCCCGCUUCACCCAUUCAGAGAAGUUUACUUUCCAUCUGGUGGGUAGGCUAGAGUGGACAGGGCAUGUCCGGAGUGCUUUCUUUAUUAACACUACUGUUAUUGGCAUAGGAUCUGGUGCCCACUGAGUAGGUCCUCUCCAACUAGGACAGGGUGUCUAGAUGGUUCCCCUAGCUUUUUGAGACUUUAGUAGAGGAAAGGCAGAUAGGUGGGACUCGUGUAAGAGUGUGAAGUGCUCCCACUACAAAGUCCAUCUUGCCUUGGGCUUUCCUUUGGGAAUUUUUUUCCUUUGGAAACACCUUUUCUCCUUAGACACUCAUCUUUCUUGUGGACAUUUUGGGCAGGGUCGUUAUGGAGUCAGAGUAGUUAUAGGGUCAGGGUGGUCAGGUGGUUAUAGGGUCAUGGCGGUUGUAAGGUCAGGGUGGUCAGGGUGGGUAUAGAAUCAUGAAGAGGUUGUAGGGUCAGGGUGGAUAUAGGGUCCGGAUGGUCAGGUGGUUAUAGUGUCAUGGUAGUUGUAGAGUCAGGAUGGUCAGGGUGGGUAUAGAAUCAUGAGGUUAUAGGGUCGUGGUGGUUGUAGGGUCAGGGUUGUCAGGGAGGUUUCCUUGUGGUCAGGCACUCUAAUCAGCAGUUACAGAUGGCACUUUAUUCUCUUGUAGUAACAAUCUGAAAACUGUCAGUGGUUGAGUGGACAUGGGUACAGUGCUUGAGGGUGCUUUGGGGGUUUGAGGCUGGCCUGGGAGGGAUAGAACUUUGUGUGAUAGUCAGGUUGCUUCUUCUACCCAUAGGAGCCCCAGGUCCAGGCAGCUCAGAUGGCAGAUGUACCAGCUACCUCUCAAAGGCCUGAACAGGACACACGGGCAGCUCAAGAGCAGGAGUUAGAGUCCCUUCGGGAGCAGCUGGCGAGUGUGAACCACAAUAUUGAAGAGGUUGAAGCUGACAUGAAGACCCUGGGAAUCAACCUUGUGCAGGUGAGGGGCUUGGAGAGGGACUUUGGCUGGACCAGGCAGAACUGGGGCCUUGAGAGAUGAUCUGACAUCUAGAGAUCUAUAGAUGCCAUAAUCGUUUAUGGAGCAUCCUAGAGACCUCUGGUAUUGUUGAAGGCUCAGGAGAACUUAUGCAAAGAAACAUGUAGGGUUGAUAGCUUGCUAGACUAUAGGUCUAUAUAGACUAUAUAGGUCUAUAGGUCUGGCAUCAGUCAGGCUUUGUAGGGGAACAUAGGAGCUAUGGGCAUCAGGGAAUCAAGGUGGAUGUGUAGGGGCAGGGCCUUACAGGGCUUCUCAGAGCCUCUGGCUGUCAGUACAGAGCUGAAGAUGUCAAAGACUGUAGUAGGUAGAGGCUUUGGAGUUCUCUGAGGUCUUGAGCUGGGCCAGGGCCAUAAUGGGCUCACUGGGAUCGUGGGCUGUGUGUAUGACUGGGAGCUUGGCUGUGAGUGUACCAGGUGGAAACCGAGUGCCGACAAAGUGAACUCAGUGUGGCCGAGCAGGAGCAGGCCCUGCGCCUGAAGAGCAGGACAGUGGAAUUGUUGCCUGAUGGGGCUGCCAACCUCGCCAAGCUGCAGCUUGUGGUGGAGAGCAGUGCUCAGAGGCUCAUCCAUCUAGCAAGCCAGUGGGAGAAACACCGGGUCCCACUUCUUGCUGAGUACCGCCACCUCAGAAGACUCCAGGACUGUAGGGAGCUGGAAUCGUCUCGACGGCUGGCAGAAAUCCAGGAGCUGCACCACAGUGUUCGAGCAGCUGCAGAGGAGGCUCGCCGGAAGGAGGAGGUCUAUAAGCAGCUGGUGUCAGAGCUGGAGACUCUGCCAAAAGAUGUGUCCCGGCUGGCCUAUACUCAGCGCAUCCUGGAGAUUGUGGGCAACAUCAGGAAGCAGAAGGAAGAGAUCACUAAAAUCUUGUCGGACACAAAGGAACUGCAGAAGGAAAUCAACUCUCUCUCUGGGAAGCUCGACCGGACAUUUGCAGUGACUGAUGAGCUUGUGUUCAAGGAUGCUAAGAAGGAUGAUGCUGUUCGGAAAGCCUACAAGUACCUCGCUGCCCUGCAUGAGAAUUGCAGUCAGCUCAUCCAGACCAUUGAGGACACAGGCACUAUCAUGAGGGAAGUUCGAGAUCUUGAGGAGCAGAUUGAGACAGAGAUGGGCAAGAAGACUUUGAGCAACCUGGAGAAGAUCUGUGAGGACUACCGAGCCCUUCGCCAGGAGAAUGCUGGCCUCUUGGGCCGGGUCCGAGAGGCCUAGAGCCCUGAUGGAUGUCUCCUAACCACAGGCCUUUUGAAGAAGAGCCAAGGAUGAGGAGUGCGGACGAUAAUACCCUAGCAGAACAUCCUGAUGUUCGAGAGUCACUAGGUCCCCUGUUGGCCCCUACCCCUCUCCGUCCAUGGCCCCAGAUGACCCUUCAGGUGCCCGAAGUCACGUUGACCCGCAACCCUCAAGAAGAAGGUGACAUCCCCAGAAGCAACCCACCUGUGGCUUUUACAGAGGUUCGCCAGGCACCUGCCAUCAGGAUUCUUCCAGCAACCUGUGGCCUGGGUGGCCCCCCAAGGGACCAGGCCUCAGGGCCCGAUGCAAGUGAUAGAGCUGCUGGCCCUUUCCUGGAACCCACCCAGCAGCAGGUGGAGGCUACGUGGGAAAGUGGAGGGGGUCGAAAGGCCCCCAUGGUAGGGGCUAUGACAGAUGAGCCUGCCAGGGGUCUGGAGAUUGUGAGUGGCUUGGAUGAGUUGCUUGGUGAAGACACCAUUGACCAGGAAUUGGAGCAGCUCUACCUGUCUCACCUGAGCCGCUUGCGAGCUGUGGCAGCGGCGGGUGGCGGGGAAGGCACUUCCCCCAGUCAUGCCCUGGGCAUACUCACGGACCGUGACCUGAUCUUGAAGUGGCCUGGCCCCGAGAGGGCCCUGAACAGUGCUCUGGCCGAGGAGAUCACGCUGCACUAUGCGCGCCUGGGCUGUGGCGUGGAGCUCAUCAAGGACACUGAAGACCCAGAUGACGAGGGAGAGGGUGAAGAUGGGUUCUCCAUCACUCCUUCUAGCCCUGAAGGGGGCAGCCCUAAGGAAUCGCCUCCAGAAAUCCUCUCUGGAGCCCGCUCUGUGAUAGCUACUAUGGGAGAUGUGUGGGUUCCAUGGGCCGAGCGCUCUAGCUCUAGAUGUGAUAGCCCAGUGAUUCUGGGAACACAGGGUCAGUUCACUGAGAAUUCAGAGAAAGGGAUGGGCAAGGACAGCAACUCUUUGCACCUGAAUAGGGUAAUAGUUGGGGUGAGCAAGUCCCCUGGGGAGGCUGGGACCGGAAGCCAGAUGGAGGAGGUACCUACUGAGCGGGAAAGCAGCUUGGUACCAAUUUCUGAGAAAGAGCUGCCUGUACCAGUUCAGCAAGAGCAGAGUCCUGCCCUCCUUGGUCCCAUGGGGACUGAAGUCUGUCUGUCUAGUGUAGCCAAGCCUCAUGUGAACUCCCAGGAAGAAGAGGGUGGAAGCCUGAAUCUUGAGUCCCCAAAGAGGUCUCCCAUGCCAGCGGCCCCUGCAGAAUGUGCGUGUGCGUUGGCUCCUCGGCUCCGGGGGCCCUUGACCCAAACUUUGGGGGUCCUGGCUGGGCUCGUUAUGGUCCCCGUGGCUUUGAACAGCGGUGUGUCCCUUCUGGUGCUGGUGCUGUGCCUCUCUCUGGCCUGGUUCUCGUAGGGGCUGCCGGGAGGGAGGGCUAGGUUCCAACAGCAGGUUUCCUCCUCUCUGGGAUCUGGAGAUUGACAGUCCCUCUGUCAGCCCAGAGUGUUGAGAUGAGACCCAGGGCCUGUGGAGUGAGGGACUUUGAUUUUGAGAGUGCUUGACUGGAGAGAGGCCUUCCCAUCUUGGAGCUCUCCAGCCAGAAGCAGGCUUCCUGCAGUAGUAUUUGUGGAGUGGAAUACAAUGGUGGAUGGUGUGAGAAAUUUUAGAAUGGAACCAGGCAUGCCCCCCACCCACCCCAAGCCUGUAUUUAUUUUUGUAUAAUUCUCUGGAUGAGGGAGAGUGGUCAUGAGCUGGUCUUGGGGCACAAUUACCCAGAGAGAUAUUUAUUAACAACCAACCUGUGCAACCUGCUGGAGCUUUAUUUUUAAUUUAAUUUAUAUAGAGUACAUAUUAUUAUAUGCCACAAUAGAGCUCUAUGAGAAAUGAUGUGUCUUGCUGUGCUGGUCUCCUGUUUGGGCCUGAGUGUAUAGGGUAGUCACAUUCUGGGGAAUGGCCGUGGUCCAUGUUGGGAAAGGAGAUGGCCACGGCCAUACCUACUGCUGCCUCCUCAAUGUGUCCUUGAGGAUCUGUAUCUCUUUGCCUUGUGGUCCUAAUAUAUGUGGUCCUUUGGUCGUGCAUAUUUUGUCUGGGAGCUUGUGUCUGUGUAUAUGGGUGGUUUCGGUGGGAGCUGAGAGGAAGGAUUGGUGUUAGUCAUGCGGCUGCGGUGGUGGCUGUGCUCAGCUGUAGGUAUGGAGGCUUGGAUUAGCUACAAGGUUUGGAGGUGACUGCAAAAAGCAGCUUUUGACACUAGCAGGGAGACCCCUGAAACCCCUAAAUGGGGAAGGCCCCAGAAAGGAGUUAAUGUACUGUGAAAAAUUUGUAUCAGGUUUGUUGUCCCCAGACAUUGCAUUUCUACUCCAAACAGGAUACCCAGAAGCUUUCAAAGAAAGGUUAGAGACAUUUAUUGCAUGCAAAUAAAAACUCUUGGCAUAGC